rnacentral:lncRNA from 1 species
GUGGCUCAGUCGGUUAAGUGUCUGACGUAUGUCAUGAUUUCACGGUUCUUGGGUUCGGGCCCCACAUCUGGCUCUGUGCUGAGAUGGAGAGCCUGCUUGGGAUUCAUUCUCUCUCUCUCUCUCUCUCUCUCUCUCUCUCCUCUCUCUCUCCCUCCUCGGCUCUAGCUCAAAAUAAAUUUUAAAAACUUUAAAGAAAAAAAAGGAAGGAAAUUCUGAUACCUGCUCUAAUACAGAUGAACCUUGAAGACAUUAUGCUGAGUGAAAUCAGCCAGUCACCGAGACACAAACACUGCCUGAUUCGACUUACAUGAGGUACUUAGAGAAGUUAAAUUCAUACAGUCAGAAAAUAAAAUAUUGGAGGCCAGGUGCUGAGGGGGGCGGGAAUGGACAGUUAGUGUCUGAUGGGUCUGGAGACGGAUGGGGGUGGCGGUCACAAGUGAAAGUAUUUAAUGUCCCCGCACUGGCCGCCGAAAGAUGGCUAAAAUGGUAAAUUCUCUGUUGUGUGUUCGCAAUUUUGCAAACCAUAGAUCAGAUCCUGUCAAUCGAUUAUCCUUCCUCUAAGAAUAAAAUGUACAAUUGAUUUGAUUUUUUUAACUCCAUUUUGUUUCUUUUCAUUUUUUUUUAAUGUGUAUUUAUUUUUGAGAGAGAGAGACAGAGCAUGAGCAUGAGCAGAGGAGGGGCGGAGAGAGAGGGAGACACAAAAUCUUUGCUAUGUCAAUGGAAUCUUGGAUCACGUCUCCUUUCUGUGGCUUCUUUGGCUUGGCCGCGUGUAAGAGAUGCUUCCAAGAUGGUGAGCCAUCUGGAGGCUAUUCCAGUGCCGCGCGGGGUGAAUGAACCGGAUGAAUGUGACACGGUGGGAUUUUGUGUUGUUUUUAGGAUCCAAGGGUUUAUUGCCACGAAUGCAAAACAUGCCGACAAUGAAUUGCGUUCACAAAAGAUCAAGUUGCUUUUCCAGGUUCAUGGAGCACCGUGAACCCUCUGAAAAUAUUCGGGGAGCAGUUGCAGCUUUGGGGGCAGCGGCAGUGUGUGCAUAACACAUUUGGGGACACAGUGGAGCUGGCAAAGGCAUGGAUCCCGGAUCUGGACCGCCUGGGUUCAACUCCCAGCUCUCCGACUAACCGGCUGUGCCACCUGAGAAUAGUUACUUAACCUCUCUGGGCCUCAGUCUCCCCGUUUAUCCACGGGGGUCAAAACAGCACCUGUCUCACUGAGCUGCUGUGAGACUAAAUGAGUUGAUGCGUGUCAAGCAUGGUUGGGACAGUGCCUGGCAUGUCGUAAGUGCUCAAUAAACGUUAGGUGUUGUUUUAUUCGUUUUAAUUG